AAAAGAGGAAUGAAAAC
rnacentral:sRNA from 1 species